rnacentral:misc_RNA from 1 species
GAUGAAGAACGUAGCGAAAUGCGAUAAGUAAUGUGAAUUGCAGAAUUCAGUGAAUCAUCGAAUCUUUGAACGCACAUUGCGCCCGCCAGUAUUCUGGCGGGCAUGCCUGUCCGAGCGUCAUUUCAACCCUCGAACCCCUCCGGGGGGUCGGCGUUGGGGAUCGGCCCUUUACGGGGCCGGCCCCGAAAUACAGUGGCGGUCUCGCCGCAGCCUCUCCUGCGCAGUAGUUUGCACACUCGCAUCGGGAGCGCGGCGCGUCCACAGCCGUUAACCACCCCAAACUUCUGAAAUGUUGACCUCGGAUCAGGUAGGAAUACCCGCUGAACUUAAGCAUAUCAAUAAGCGGAGGA